CGGCGAUGUCCGAAUGGGGAAACCCAGUGCAAUUCGUUGCACUAUCGUUAACUGAAUACAUAGGUUAACGAGGCGAACCGGGGGAACUGAAACAUCUAAGUACCCCGAGGAAAAGAAAUCAACCGAGAUUCCCCCAGUAGCGGCGAGCGAACGGGGAGCAGCCCAGAGUCUGAAUCAGCUUGUGUGUUAGUGGAACGGUCUGGAAAGUCCGACGGUACAGGGUGAUAGUCCCGUACACCAAAAUGCACAGGCUGUGAACUCGAAGAGUAGGGCGGGACACGUGGUAUCCUGUCUGAAUAUGGGGGGACCAUCCUCCAAGGCUAAAUACUCCUGACUGACCGAUAGUGAACCAGUACCGUGAGGGAAAGGCGAAAAGAACCCCGGCGAGGGGAGUGAAAAAGAACCUGAAACCGUGUACGUACAAGCAGUGGGAGCACCUUCGGGUGUGACUGCGUACCUUUUGUAUAAUGGGUCAGCGACUUAUAUUCUGUAGCAAGGUUAACCGUAUAGGGGAGCCGCAGGGAAACCGAGUCUUAACUGGGCGUUAAGUUGCAGGGUAUAGACCCGAAACCCGGUGAUCUAGCCAUGGGCAGGUUGAAGGUUGGGUAACACUAACUGGAGGACCGAACCGACUAAUGUUGAAAAAUUAGCGGAUGACUUGUGGCUGGGGGUGAAAGGCCAAUCAAACCGGGAGAUAGCUGGUUCUCCCCGAAAGCUAUUUAGGUAGCGCCUCGUGAAUUCAUCUUCGGGGGUAGAGCACUGUUUCGGCUAGGGGGUCAUCCCGACUUACCAACCCGAUGCAAACUACGAAUACCGAAGAAUGUUAUCACGGGAGACACACGGCGGGUGCUAACGUCCGUCGUGAAGAGGGAAACAACCCAGACCGCCAGCUAAGGUCCCAAAGUCAUGGUUAAGUGGGAAACGAUGUGGGAAGGCACAGACAGCCAGGAUGUUGGCUUAGAAGCAGCCAUCAUUUAAAGAAAGCGUAAUAGCUCACUGGUCGAGUCGGCCUGCGCGGAAGAUGUAACGGGGCUAAACCAUGCACCGAAGCUGCGGCAGCGACACUAUGUGUUGUUGGGUAGGGGAGCGUUCUGUAAGCCUGCGAAGGUGACCUGUGAGGGUUGCUGGAGGUAUCAGAAGUGCGAAUGCUGACAUAAGUAACGAUAAAGCGGGUGAAAAGCCCGCUCGCCGGAAGACCAAGGGUUCCUGUCCAACGUUAAUCGGGGCAGGGUGAGUCGACCCCUAAGGCGAGGCCGAAAGGCGUAGUCGAUGGGAAACAGGUUAAUAUUCCUGUACUUGGUGUUACUGCGAAGGGGGGACGGAGAAGGCUAUGUUAGCCGGGCGACGGUUGUCCCGGUUUAAGCAUGUAGGCUGGUUAUCCAGGCAAAUCCGGAUAAUCAAGGCUGAGGUGUGAUGACGAGGCACUACGGUGCUGAAGUAACAAAUGCCCUGCUUCCAGGAAAAGCCUCUAAGCAUCAGGUAACAUCAAAUCGUACCCCAAACCGACACAGGUGGUCAGGUAGAGAAUACCAAGGCGCUUGAGAGAACUCGGGUGAAGGAACUAGGCAAAAUGGUGCCGUAACUUCGGGAGAAGGCACGCUGGUGUGUAGGUGAAGUCCCUGCGGAUGGAGCUGAGACCAGUCGAAGAUACCAGCUGGCUGCAACUGUUUAUUAAAAACACAGCACUGUGCAAACACGAAAGUGGACGUAUACGGUGUGACGCCUGCCCGGUGCCGGAAGGUUAAUUGAUGGGGUUAUCCGUAAGGAGAAGCUCUUGAUCGAAGCCCCGGUAAACGGCGGCCGUAACUAUAACGGUCCUAAGGUAGCGAAAUUCCUUGUCGGGUAAGUUCCGACCUGCACGAAUGGCGUAAUGAUGGCCAGGCUGUCUCCACCCGAGACUCAGUGAAAUUGAACUCGCUGUGAAGAUGCAGUGUACCCGCGGCAAGACGGAAAGACCCCGUGAACCUUUACUAUAGCUUGACACUGAACAUUGAGCCUUGAUGUGUAGGAUAGGUGGGAGGCUUUGAAGCGUGGACGCCAGUCUGCGUGGAGCCAACCUUGAAAUACCACCCUUUAAUGUUUGAUGUUCUAACGUUGGCCCCUUACCGGGGUUGCGGACAGUGUCUGGUGGGUAGUUUGACUGGGGCGGUCUCCUCCCAAAGCGUAACGGAGGAGCACGAAGGUUAGCUAAUCCUGGUCGGACAUCAGGAGGUUAGUGCAAUGGCAUAAGCUAGCUUGACUGCGAGCGUGACGGCGCGAGCAGGUGCGAAAGCAGGUCAUAGUGAUCCGGUGGUUCUGAAUGGAAGGGCCAUCGCUCAACGGAUAAAAGGUACUCCGGGGAUAACAGGCUGAUACCGCCCAAGAGUUCAUAUCGACGGCGGUGUUUGGCACCUCGAUGUCGGCUCAUCACAUCCUGGGGCUGAAGUAGGUCCCAAGGGUAUGGCUGUUCGCCAUUUAAAGUGGUACGCGAGCUGGGUUUAGAACGUCGUGAGACAGUUCGGUCCCUAUCUGCCGUGGGCGCUGGAGAAUUGAGGGGGGCUGCUCCUAGUACGAGAGGACCGGAGUGGACGCAUCACUGGUGUUCGGGUUGUCAUGCCAAUGGCACUGCCCGGUAGCUAAAUGCGGAAGAGAUAAGUGCUGAAAGCAUCUAAGCACGAAACUUGCCCCGAGAUGAGUUCUCCCUGAGACUUUAAGUCUCCUGAAGGAACGUUAAAGACGAUGACGUUGAUAGGCCGGGUGUGUAAGCGCAGCGAUGCGUUGAGCUAACCGGUACUAAUGAACCGUGAGGCUUAACCUU
rnacentral:rRNA from 1 species